rnacentral:rRNA from 1 species
GAAAGAGAUACACAGCACACGGGGGAUGCCUCGGGUGCAAGAAGGCGAAGAAGGUCGUGGCACGCAACGAUACGCCUCAGGGAGCC